rnacentral:lncRNA from 1 species
UACGGUGGGAUAAACAAAAAAAUUGGAUAACAAAGGGUUUUGAACUCGGUAGUCAUGUUGUGUGAUUUUUCUUUCUCUUUUUUUCGUGCAUCACGUAUACUCUGGGGGUUAAUUUCACUCUUUUGACUCUUUUUCUACUCAAAUUUUCCGAGCAUUUUAUAUCUGUUAGAGUCUUAGGUCUCGGCAAGUGCAUUUUUCUCUUUUGUUUUUCUUUUCUCUUUUUUUUUUUUUUUUUUUCUUUUAAAUAAAAUACAUACUAUUUUUCUUUUUGUAUGAUCUCUUAUUAUGCACUUGCCUUCUCUUUCAAGAUUUCCACCCCAAACUUAGUUUUAUUGCACAUCUUGCAAUUCACACAAUCAUACCGAGUUAUGACACAAAAGGAAAUGAAUGAUUAAAAGUUAACAGGGGGUUUAUGAUGAAUAAUGCUUAAACGUUAACAUGGGGUUUACGAUGAAUAAAAUGGCUAAGGCUCAACGGGGUUUACGAAGGGAAACAUACAUAUAGGGAUGGUUAGAAAGGCCCUGGCUAAACAAACAACUUGCCUCAGUGUGUGUUGUCAUGUUGUGACGUGUCAACAGGACAUACGCAAAAUCAGAGUGAUAAAGUCAUACCUGGCUGAACUCUCAUGUUGAUAUUUCGUGUUUGGCUUUUUGUGAUCUCACCAUGUUGGUUAGCUUGCAAGCUCUGAAGUCUCUUCGUGUUAUGUGGUUCUUUCCUGACUUGGUCUUUCCAUACCGCUUUCUUGGUCCGGUGUCCCCAAAAUGUGUCCGACUUCUUUUCUCAAGGUUGCAUCAACUUCCGGGGUGCCUUAUCAGCCUAAGUUUGAGGGGUGUCAUUCAUCCACUACCAUUGAUCCCGGGCUCGUCCAACCGUUUCUCAUCACCCUGUACACACAGUAGGUCCAAAAGAACAGAAAACAAACAAAACAAACAAACAUACUAAUAUAAUGAUAACAUAACAAAAACAAAACAAAUUGAAAGAAAAUAAAACAUGAAAGCAUGAAAGGAGAAACCCCCCCCCCUACACUUGAACUAAACAUUGACCUCAAUGUUUAAAUUCAAACACGAAUGGGACUUGCAGUGAUCACUGUUGAGGAGGAGGUGGAGGAUCGUGCGGGAAAUGCAACAUCAGACGUUGCAUCAUGGCCUGCAUGUCAUCCAUGAUUGUCCCUUGCCGGAACAGUUCCACACUCUGUCUAUCUAAUUCCGCACCUUGUCUGGUCUGCUCGGUGCAGAGAGUUCCCAUCUCCGUCUGGAUCCAACCCCACUAGUCCUGGGACAUAAAAGAGGAGCCUUCACCAUGUAGGCUCGAAUCAUGUGGGGGUGGCAUACCGUGGGUAGCUUGUCUCUCAUCUUCUUCCAUGUCCUCACCUGAAAGGUCAUGGUCAAACUGCUCAUCACCCCCUAUCGCUUGGGCUGAACCUAUGUACAACCAGUUGGCAGCAUUGGCAAUGCUAAUGGACCCAGGUGCAGGAAGUGCGAGCACUUCCACAUUGUGAAUCAUCAGAGCGUAAUGAGUCGGCCGGAUGGCAAUCAUCUAUUGAUUGACUAGCGUGUGCAUGUCAAUCUUAGUCUUGCCCAUUACUGCAGUCUCCUCCAUCAGGAGUUGAUCAUACCCGAAGUGGCCCGCAAUCUACGUGAUCAUACCACCUACAUAAAUAUCCCCAGUAGUGGGAUGGCCAACCUGUUUCAGAUGAUUGGCGGCAAAAGCCGCUGCAUUGAUUCGCUCAUUAUGGGCCAUGCAAUACAGAAAAUAUAAUUCUCUCUUAGCCGCAACCCCAGUACUAUCACCCCGUCCAAACAAGGUGUAUGCUAACCCUUUUUGUGCAUACCUGAAGCACGGGUUAUGAAUUCCAGAAGCUUUUCCCGAGCUAGGGUUAUACCCAGUUUUACCUGUAAUAGCUUGCCAGAAAUCAACAACAGAAAAGUAUGCAAUACCAAACUCUUAACUUUGAAUACAUUCUAAUGUCACUACCACAGCAGAUUCCACACACUUUUUGAGGUCUUUUUAGGUUGUAACGGGGCUUGGGUACGGUGGGAUAAACAAAAAAAUUUGGAAAACAAAGGGUUUUGAACUCGGUAGUCAUGUUGUGUGAUUUUUCUUUCUCUCUUCUUUUUUCGUGCAUCACGUAUACUCUGGGGGUUAAUUUCACUCUUUUUACUCUUUUUCUACUCAAAUUUUUCGAGCAUUUUAUAUCUGUUAGAGUCUUAGGUCUCGGCAAGUGCAUUUUUCUCUUUCAAGAUUUUUU